rnacentral:rRNA from 1 species
CCAGCAGCCGCGGUAAUACGUAGGAUGCAAGCGUUAUCCGGAAUUAUUGGGCGUAAAGAGUGUGUAGGUGGCGUGUUAAGUUAAAUGUUAAAUCCCAGGGCUCAACUCAGGGGCUGCAUUUAAUACUGGCAUGCUUGAGGUAUGGAGAGGUAAGCGGAAUUAGUAGUGUAGCAGUGAAAUGCGUAGAUAUUACUAGGAACACCAAUGGCGAAGGCAGCUUACUGGCCAUAUUCUGACGCUGAGACACGAAAGCGUGGGGAGCGAACGGGAUUAGAUACCCCGGUAGUCCACGCCGUAAACGAUGAUCACUAGCUGUGUGGGGAGUCGACCCCCUGCGUAGUGAAGCUAACGCGUUAAGUGAUCCGCCUGGGGAGUACGGUCGCAAGGCUAAAACUCAAAGGAAUUGACGGGGGCCCGCACA